rnacentral:rRNA from 1 species
UAGGGAAUCCNUCGGCAAUGGACGGAAGUCUGACCGAGCAACGCCGCGUGAGUGAAGAAGGUUUUCGGAUCGUAAAGCUCUGUUGUAAGAGAAGAACGAGUGUGAGAGUGGAAAGUUCACACUGUGACGGUAUCUUACCAGAAAGGGACGGCUAACUACGUGCCAGCAGCCGCGGUAAUACGUAGGUCCCGAGCGUUGUCCGGAUUUAUUGGGCGUAAAGCGAGCGCAGGCGGUUAGAUAAGUCUGAAGUUAAAGGCUGUGGCUUAACCAUAGUACGCUUUGGAAACUGUUUAACUUGAGUGCAAGAGGGGAGAGUGGAAUUCCAUGUGUAGCGGUGAAAUGCGUAGAUAUAUGGAGGAACACCGGUGGCGAAAGCGGCUCUCUGGCUUGUAACUGACGCUGAGGCUCGAAAGCGUGGGGAGCAAACAGGAUUAGAUACCCUGGUAGUCCACGCCGUAAACGAUGAGUGCUAGGUGUUAGACCCUUUCCGGGGUUUAGUGCCGCAGCUAACGCAUUAAGCACUCCGCCUGGGGAGUACGACCGCAAGGUUG